rnacentral:lncRNA from 1 species
UCACGACAGACAGACACAGCUCCAUGACAUUAGUGCAGGUCACAGACCGACACACAGCUCCAUGACAUUAGAUGCAGGUCACAGACAGACACAGCUCCAUGACAUUCGAUGCAGGUCACAGACAGACAGACACAGCUCCAUGACAUUAGAUGCAGGUCACAGACAGACACACAGCUCCAUGACAUUAGAUGCAGGUCACAGACAGACACAGCUCCAUGACAUUCGAUGCAGGUCACAGACAGACACACAGCUCCAUGACAUUAGAUGCAGGUCACAGACAGACACACAGCUCCGUGACAUAAGAUGCAGGUUACAGACAGAGAUAAAAGGGCACUUUUACACUGAGCGACACCAUGGGGGACCUCCAUGGCCCAGGGAGACCUAGGGACCCAGCGAGGGCUGAGCUGCCCAGGGAGAGAGCCUCAGCUUGGGGAAGGGACAGUCUGGAAAGUCCUGGGGUUAGCAGCCUUCAGGUUGACCCAAAGUUUAAUUAUUUUCACAGUUGAUUUCUACCUCCGCCACACAUUUGUGGAAACUUGGCAAUAUUAAAAAAAGAAAAAAAAAGAUUGAGGACAAGAGAGAAGCAGUAGAGAGGGAGGUUCGUCUUUCUUGAAUACAAAAAGUGUACGUGUGGUUGGUUGCAUGUUCUCUCCUGGUUGACAUUGGACAACAUGGCUACAUACUGUAGUGUAAUGAGGGUGGCAUCUUGACAACAGAGAGCAAUAAUGUCCUUGAGAUGUGUACUUCCAGGAAGCCUCUGAACAAGUGAAAAAAGUGAUCAUCUAUACAAAACAACAAAACUAUAUUCAUAUCAAUUCAUCUGUGUGAGAGAAAGACAUGGGGGAUAAUGUUCUGUUAGGAGGGACUAGACCCUUACCCAAUAUAAUGUUCUGUUAGGAGGGACUAGACCCUUACCCAAUAUAAUGUUCUGUUAGGAGGGACUAGACCCUUACCCAAUAUAAUGUUCUGUUAGGAGGGACUAGACCCUUACCCCAUUUAAAUGUUGUUAGGGGGACUAGACCCUUACCCCAUUUAAAUGUUCUGUUAGGGGGACUAGACCCGUACCCCAUUUAAAUGUUCUGUUAGGGGGACUAGACCCGUACCCCAAUAUAAUGUUCUGUUAGGAGGGACUAGACCCGUACCCCAUAUAAUGUUCUGUUAGGUGGGACUAGAUAGACCCUUACCCCAUAUAAUGUUCUGUUAGGAGGGACUAGACCCAUACCCCAUAUAAUGUUCUGUUAGGAGGGACUAGACCCUUACUCCAUAUAAUGUUCUGUUAGGAGGGACUAGACCCGUACCCCCAUAUAAUGUUCUGUUAGGAGGGACUAGACCGAGGGUGGGCAAUUCCAGUCCUCGUGGGCCUGAUAGGUGUCAAAGUUUUGCCCCAGCUAACACACCUGACUCCAAUAAUCAACGAAUCAUGAUCUUCAGUUUAGAACGCAAUUUGAUUAAUCAGCUGUGUUUGAUAGGAUGGAGAAAAAGUAUGACACCAAUCAGGCCCCAGAGGACUGGAGUUGCAAACCCCUGGACUAGACCCUU